GAUUGUGUCGCAUGGCUAGCCACCUUUCCGCUUGAACAGUGCCGUCUAAAUGGCGACUGGAAAGUGCAGUUGUCCUUACUCCUUAGCUGGGGCAUUUGUAUGUUUGUGUGGAUUGGUACAGGGGCGUGUUCUUAUUCAGACUUAGUGUGGCUGAGGAGCACCGAAAGCCUGGCAAAUUGGAAAGUUUCAAUUCUCCGAUUUAUUCUACAACGUUGUAUUCUAAAUGUGGGAGCCAGUAAGACAUAACGGAAUCAUUCAAAUAAUGAGAUCUGGCGCUAUUAUACGAGGUGUAUCGAAUUUGUAUGGGACGUCGAUGAGCCAGGGGAUAUUCGCGAAAAGUAAUACCCCGGAUUGGAAACAGCUACGGGCCAAAGAAUAUAUAUCCAUUGUUCGGCCAAUAUAGUUGUCAGGUCGGGAAAAGAUAUAUUCCCUUUAUCCACCUUGCCGGUACUUUAAUAUGGUCGGACUGCGGUAAGAUGCCGGGUGACCACCACACCUCACCACACUAAAGAUGACAAGGUGAGGGAGAAGCAUUGUAAACGCCUGGGUCGCAACUGCAGGGUGUUACGCUGGCACAUGCAAGUUCCUACAACCGAACAACCAUACAGGUUUGCACACUGUAUACUGGUUUUCGCAGAACAUCCGGAAGGUCACCAACGUAAGAUCCUUGAUUAAGUUACUUAAACUUUGAGGAUAACAGAUUGACCUUUACAUUGACGGCGUGAUGCCAAUCCGAAAUUGGGCGUUACGACCAUCGACCCACUAAAGUCAUGUUACAUCCGGAAUGCCUGUCGCACACGGGCAUAAUCCAGCACGAGAUCCUGCAUGCCGUUGGAUUUUUCCAUGAGCUGCUCAUGGAAAAAUGCAACUCAUGGAAAAAAUCCAAGGGCAUGCCGGAUCUUGUGGCUGUGCUGGUAGCCUGGUAGCGAAUAACAGCCGGUUUAUACUUCACAUGUCAACUUAUGAAAGCGGUCGAACUCUCGAAGUGCGGGAGGAUAUUAGAGAGUGUUUUGGGGAUAUAUCCGAAGAAGUGAUGAGUUUGGCAGAAGAGCGGGAAAUCGAUCGACAAACGAAUCCCGCGUCGUGCUGGUAAACAAACACAACGAAAUAACCCUGUGACGGACAAGGCGGAAGAUUAUUUCAGAAUAGGCAUCGCUUUACCUUCUGUGGACCAACUGAUAACUUCCUUGAGUGAGCGAUUUCGUGACAGUAUUCAACGGGCAGGCAACAUUCACCCGGAACUGCCACUUGGUGAAAGAAGUACCCGAAAUGACAGUAUUGUCAUAAGACCAAUAAAGACCACGGAUUAUCCGGUAUUGCGCUUAGAGGAUACGGAUAGUUGACCAGGAGUACUACUGUAAUACAGCGAAGAACCGCGAUUUUACCCUUUCUGUUGUUCUCCCUUGAGAUGACGAUUUGUCCAUGAGCAUGAUCGGGAUGAGCACGAUGAGGGUGUCCAUUGAGCAUGAUAUUAACAUAUCCAUCCCGGAGCGGGCUGGUUAUGUUGGCACAAAUGACGUUGAUGCUAAUGUUGCCAACUUUGUCCGGGCGACUGGUAAAAUGAUAUUGGGAGUCGAUGAACGAAACUGGGCGAUACUGUCGGACAUGGCCAUAUUCGGGCUGCUAUACGACAUGGAUUCGAUCAUGCACUACGGCCGAAACGACCCGAGAAGCCCUGAUAACCGGCUAUCGUACCCACAGCAUCCCCACCGCCCAGGAGAAUGGGGCAAGUGCAUGGCCUUAAUCCAUGGAUGUAUCCAACAGUACGUUCCCUUUGGCCACAUCCCCAGGACUAAGGCCAUCGCGAGCAGCUGUGAAAAGCUGCUGACAAGUGCACCCAGAUGGCGGUACCUGCGCUGGCCGCUACCCGAAUACCCAGUCUACAGAUACGUAGCAAUCGCUUCCAAUGCGAGAUACGUCCGUAGCCGGUAGGUGCUACGCGGAUUCCGGGGACAAUAAGCCCGGAGUGGUACGCCGAGCGCCUGACCGGUACUCCAACGCCGCUGAAAAACCUGUACCACCAUGAACCCUAUGACUUCGGGGUUAUGCAGCUUCUUCAGCGGCAUUUUCAGACAAACGAACCAAUGCUACUCACAGGCCAAUGUGGAGAAACUCUACCUUGGUGUCGCCGUUCCACCCGGUGGUUUCCAGCUGGGAAUCAAGCUGGCCUGACCGUGUCCUGUGAUAUUCCUCCUCUUCCGACGCCGCUGGCCUGGACCUCUCGUCUGGCAUCUCCAUCGGCUAAGCGCUUUUGAUACACGCCUUUCCUACCUGUCUUUUAUUCGAUGAUGAGGUUUCUUGUUUUUCCUUUAUACUACGACGGUUUUACUUUAUAUUUCGAGCUACACCGUUGCUUUAUUACUACACUCAGUUGUUGUUGCUGCUGCAGUACUGAAUCGCGCGCAGCGACUAUCUUUCCCGUUCAGUUGCACUAUGCACCUCCCAAAGAUCACCACUACCGCCUGCUGACCAUGGCCGACAUCCAGCUACUUCCUCAUCCACAAUGUGCACCGCGACGUCCCAACUGUGCUCAGUAGAUUUACAGAAAUCUUGUUUUAUUCUCGGGCCACGUUAUCAACGUUUCCCGUUGGCAGCUGUGCUUCUAAGCGUCGAUGUUUUCUGGUACUUCUUUUCGUUUAACGAUUUUUAUAAUACGAGUACAUCGCAUAAAAAGCUUACAGAUAGAUACUCGUGAAUUUCAAUGGGCGCAUAGGUUCCAAUGUAUACUCGUAUGUAAGCCCAA